GAGGCGCCGCCGUCACUCUCUCUCAGACCUCACUCUCUCUCACACAGUCUCUCUCUCUCUCUCAGUUCAGUCUCCGCCGCCUCCUGCCCUCCUCCUGUCCAGCAAGCAGCGCCGCAGCGGCCGAUGCCCCGCCACUCUCCGACCGUUUGGCGCGCCUCUCCACUCUCCAGCUCCUCGACCUCCGCGCCGCCGACGCGUUGCUCUGAGCCGACGAGCACGCGACCACGCUUGCUUUGGGGGAGCAGCGGCGACGCCAGCCGCGGACGCGAGGACAGCGGCGCCGUCGACGGGCGCAAGGACUGCAGGUCUGCAGCGGCCAUGCGUGCGCCCAGAGGGUGCGAGAACUGCGGGCUGCCGCCUGCGGCAGAGGACCUCCGUGCGGCUGCGGCCGGGGUCCCCGUCGGGUCUGCUAUCCCCGUCGGGGACGGGGACGGGGAUAUUUUGUCCCCGUGAGCAGUAGCGGGGACGGGGAACGGGAGAUUCUCGAGCAGGCGGGGUGCAGAACGUUCGGCUGAUCCCCGGCGGGGAUAGCCCCGUUGCCAUCCCUAAUCCUGCUCGCCGUCCAGCGCCCGCACUCUCUCCUGCUUGCCGUGCAGCACCCGUUGCCGCCACCGCCGCCGCCGCCGCCAUCGCCGGACUUCAUUGUCCUUCUUAGCCCCUCGUCGCCACCGCCCGCCCCCGGCGCCGCCCGUCGCCAUCGCCGGAGCCGGACUUGAUUGUCCUUCCCAGGCCCUCAUCGCCGCCGUCCGUCUCUUCGGCGCCGCCCGUUGCCGUCGCCGCCGUCUUCGCCUCCGUAUUUCUCCAUCCAAGCCCCCUUUCAUCAAGCUCUGGCAUCCCGCAUCCAGACCAGCGCCGCUUCCGAUCUUAUCGUCGGCAUCGACACCGGCGCCCGUCAAGAGUGAUGCCUUCUUCAGUUUUCUUCUGCUCCGCUAAGCUAGCGAACACAAUGCUUUGAUAAUCAAAAAGCACUGUGCAUUGACAUUCUGAGAAAUUGUCCCAAGUCAUAAGUGAAGUUUUCAAUGGGGUGGACACCUACCUUCAACGGUUGCAAGACUGCUGUUUUGCACACCGUUGGGAUGCCAUGCCCGAGCUGUGCAUUUCCUACUUAUCAUUUUUACUUUCAUUGUUUUGUAAGUCAUCUCUCUCUACACAGAUAGAUCAUUUUGAAACAAUAUUCCUUUUUUUUGAUAAUCAGGUCACAGACUGGUUUAUUCACAUUAACUUUGACGGUACACAUAUGCAUGCAGAUCCAUCAGAGGUAAACUUGCAAAACUUCAAGGAGUACAUGCUCUAUGAGAUGCUUGAGUUGAAGGAGAUCGAGCCGGGCUGCCUGCUGCAUUUGUUCACCUCGUUGACUGAGUACUACAAGAUACUGACAUUUGGCACAUCAGAUAUCGUCAUUUUGCAUCGUCUGUAUCUGAGCCGCUUUUGCCAUUUUGAUGAGCUCAAUGAAGUGGAUUUAUGUAGACAUUAUCUAGAAAUAGUUUGUUUAACUGUGACAAGUAUGUAAAUAUACUGAGGAGUAGGUCAAAAGGUAUUGGGCAAACAUUUAUAGAUUCCAUAAAGACUGAAUGUAAUUUGAUCCUGUGUUCCUGUCAUUCACAAUGGUGAUAAAAAAAAUGCAGCGGCACAUAUAUCGCA